UUAGCUGUGGAUCGAGGAGGACGCCCAAGUUGCGGACCCUCUCCUUCCUCACAGGCCGUAGUAUCUGUUCUUAUUAGUUUAAUAUCUGAUAUGUUCUCUGUUUGGGAACUUUAUAUUAAAUGAGUUUUUGGACCUAGGUUUAAAAAAANNNUNAAAAAAAAAACCUUCCUCACAGAGUUGUUGUGAGGAUAAAAU
rnacentral:snRNA from 1 species